rnacentral:rRNA from 1 species
UACGUAGGCAGCAAGCGUUGUUCGGAAUUACUGGGCGUAAAGAGUGUGUAGGCGGUGCUCUAAGUUUGGUGUGAAAUCUCCCGGCUCAACUAGGAGGGUGCGCCGGAAACUGGAGUGCUUGAGCGUGGGAGAGGAAAGCGGAAUUCCUGGUGUAGCGGUGAAAUGCGUAGAUAUCAGGAGGAACACCUGUGGUGUAGACGGCUUUCUGGACCAUAGCUGACGCUGAGACACGAAAGCGUGGGUAGCAAACAGG